UCCUGAGCAUCCAUUCGAAUGCAUUGUUAUCUUCAAUGGCUCGUUGAAUUUGAUAGGUCUAAAAGGGUACGGAAUACUGCGUUAUCAAACGUCGAAUCCAGCAAAAACUUACUUGCGGUCCUGAUUGAUUUGUCCCCUACAAAUGGUCUUCUCAGGGCAAGAGCUAUGAUUCCUGCAGCCAAUGGAGCCGAUGCAGAAGUUCCCGUGUGUCUUUCUGUACAUUCGUUAUGUAAAUCUGUUGUGACCUGAAAAUGAAAUUGAAAAGCCAUC